GCGCCUGAAUUUGCCACCACCAGUUUUAAGUUUCCAUCUUGUCAGUCUCCGUCUGGCGGCAGCAAACAUAGCAAAACAAAUUUCACAGCCUUUAAAGUUAACGUGGCCAUAAUAUUCGUCUCUAAGUGUAGCCAUGGUAACCAGAAUAAAUAGUCACAAUAAGAAGUUUGACGUACAAGAUCGCGACUUUGCCACCACCAGUUCGAAGUUUCCAUCUUGUCAGUCUCCGACUGGCGGCAGCAAACAUAGCAAAACAAAUUUCACAGCCUUUAAAGUUAAAGUGGCCAUAAUAUUCGUCUCUAAGUCUAGCCAUUGUAACCAGAAGCUUAUGACCUCCCAAGUCGCUUCCAUUGAGAGAUAACGCGGCCUCAAUCUCACCACCACGUUUUUUCAGAUUAAUAAAAGCAUAUCCUCUGGAAACACCAGUUUCACACUCGAUGUGAACAAAAACCCUCGUCAACUCUCCACAUGAACUGAAAUGUUUAGCCAGUGCGCUCCUGAUCUCAUCCCUAGAACCACUAUUAUCAAAACCCGUGACGAAUAUGGUAUGCUCAUUGUUUCCCUCUGCAUCUUUAGUGCCAAAACAACACUUUUUUUUCUUCUCUGUGGUUUCUUCCUCCUGUAGAACGAACCAAGGAUUUCUAUUUGCAAUUAAAAAGAUAUAGAUCAACUAAGCACUUGUACAAUAUUAUUAAGACAAAACAUAACCUGCUUCUGCCUCUUCCGACAAUUGACUUCUGUCUCCAAAUCAUUCAACUCUCUUUCUGCUUCAAGAAAAAUAAAAAACCAAGUUCAAAACUAACAGAAUAUAGUUCAGGAUAACCUAACUUCUUAAAAAUAAACAUGAGCAGAGAUAAUUAUUAUAUAUGAGUUUUUUUACAAAAAAUAAGACCAUUACACAGAACAAGAACUAUGGCAUAGCAAAUAAAGAGAGACUCAAUUAUUUUCUUAAGGAUCUGUAGCCUCAGCAGCUGCUUCAGCCUAAACCAACCCCAAAACAAAAACAAUUAAUAGUGGAAAAAUCGGAAAAUUGGCUGAAGAGGUGACUAAAGAUGAAGAAAACUACAUGGGAGGAUGAUGAUGCGGAGCAUCUCUUGAGCUUGCUCUGGUCCAUGGAUUAGUUUAAAAGAGGAGAUAAACACGACGGCGGUUUCGAUAGGGAGGUGGAGAAGAAAGCAACCCCUCAAGACAGCUUCCCUAAUAUUGCCUUGUGUGAGCUUUUGUGGACUUUUUUUAUUUGUGAUUCCUAGUUGGACCUGCACUUUUUUUUAGCCCGACCAAACUGAUUUUAUUAGAGAUCGGCCUUUUUUUGGUCAACUUCCACCCCUUCAUUUGAAGUCGCGUGAGUUGAAUCAGAAGUCCAAUGUAGAAUUUGUUGAUGUGCCUCGAUUUUGGCUUUUGCAUCUAGCUGAAAUGCUGCAUCAAGUAUAUUAUACCACCUGGAUUGCUUCUACUGUGUUGCAUCAAGAUAUUAUAGAUGUUUCAUUUGAUCGUUGGCUUAUGCCCAUAAGUAUAUGGAGACAAAAGUUUUAUAAUGCAUAUUAGUACUAUAUUAUCAUGGUAUUCACAAAGACGGUCUACUGUCACUAGAUCCUCAAACAUUCUUUUAAUAAAGUCGGAAAUCUCUUCAAAGAAAGUGUGAAAAAGUCUAGGUUCAAACUGUGAAGAAACCAUUAACAACAAUGAGAAAGAGGUUAAAGAAGAAGAUUAAUAAAAUAUUUCAUUCUGACCAUCCAUAAAAUAAAAACACCGAAAAUCCAAAUUAAUAAGAAAGAUAAGAUGGGUAAGAACGGAAGCGGUAGUGCUACCCCAAAACUAAUUAGAAUUUGUGUAUUUAAUUAUUGGUUACCUCAAAACUAAUUAGAAUUUACAAUAAUAAAUUUUGGUAGCUCUAAAUUAAGCAACCAAAAUAUUUUCUUAUGUUAACGGUAAGUUUAUUAUAUUAUUUCAAUUCCUAUUUAAGAUUUACAUUUGUUGACAAAUUCAAAAAAAUAGUUCUCUAGAGUUUUAAUAAUAAAAUCUUAUUUAAAGAUGCAAUCAUUUAAAUAAUUUCAAUUCAAGAAAUUUUGCAAUAUAGACAUAACAACACGACAAAUUUUGAAACAUUUUGUGUGUCUAAUAAUUUCUUUUCAUGAGAAUCCAACUAAACAAGAUAAAAAUAUACAUAAUUACAAAAAUUUAAUUAGUUUUUUAUUAAUUUUUACGGAAUAUUUCAUAUAACUUUGGAUAUUAAUGCACAUCAAUUUUUGAAUUCUAAUAAUUUGUAAAUUAUUGAUAGUCCUGUAUUAUAGUAGCAGUAUAUAUAGAUAAUAUAUUCACAAAUAAAGAUAAUAUAACAACGUAAGUUUGUUUUCAAACCAAGAUUCAUUUGAAAGCUUUUUAGUCUAUUCACUUAAACCAAUUAAUUCAGCCAAUCAAAUUGUUAGAAUAACAUGUCAUUUCUAUUAAUAAAUUUAUAAAAACACCAAUAAAUAUGAAAAGUAAUAUAUAUAUGUUGUAAAUUAGAGAGUUUAGAGACUGAAUAUUUCUGUGUUCUUAUUAAUAAUCAAGGGGGUUCCUUUAUAUAAGGAUUACAAGAUAAAGAUAAAUGGAAAAUAUCCAAAACCUAAACACACUAGGAUUAGGAAAACUAAUAAUACAUAAUAAUGGAAAAAUUACAUCUAUUAGGAAAAUGAAAGGGUUUCUUUUUCUCCAAGCUUUGUGGCCGCCAUUCUCUCUCUCUCCUGAAGUCGGCUCUCUCUCCUGAAGUCGGCUCUCUCUCUCUCCUCUCUCUAGGGCUUUGGCCAUCUCUCCAUCUUCUAGGUAUUGGGCCGGUCUCGGUCCGGGUCUGGUUAAUGGCAAUCCACUCCAUGAUUUAUAACACUCCCCCUUGGAUGCCAUAACCAUACGUGAUUUGUAGUACGCUUCAUGUUGCCUCAUUAAAACCUUAUCAGGAAAACCCAGUGGGACAAAACCAUGAUGAAGGAAAAAUAGUAUAACACGCACUACUCCCCCUGAUGUGAACCUCAGUGUAGGUUCUACAUUCUACGCAUCUUGGUGCGUGAUCUUUCCUGUAUAUGUAGGAAGGGAGUAAUCGGCCAAGUUCAUUACUAAGCUGUAUCUAGACCACUUCGACCUCUUAGGUCGUUUCUCAUGUCUUUUGACAUUGAGUGUCCCGGUAAAGCAUGUGUGCUAAACAAUGUGAACCAUAUUGUUCUCGGGGAUCACUAUUGGGUCUUUGCAAAUCGUGUUUGCAUGUGUCCAUAGUCUAGACGUGAUCGUCUACUGUUAACUCUUUACUUUGGUCGGACAAAAUAAGUACUUAUGGACAAUGUACUAGACAUGGUUAUCAUGAACCUAUGUCUCGAUCUGGCCGAUCCAUGUCUGGGUCAUAGACCUCGUCUAUACAUGUCCACUACUUGUCUCAUGAGUGUUCAAGAUCAAUGAUCAUUUAUGUGAGUUUAUAAUCUCUUAUUAUGGCUCUGCGGCCGAAACACUCUCAUGGAUGUGGACAUCGAUUUCUCUGCCUUAGGUAAUGCCGUAUUCAUUUUGCAUUCCUAUCUUAAUGAUGGCAUCUCAUGACCUUAGUUGAUGUGGAUCAUAUCACACGCUAAGUAUAUAUUAUUAGGUCAUGAAUCUCGGCUUUCACAAGCUUAUGGACUACAAUACAUUUGUAUCUGGUUGAUCCUUUGUCUCUAUUAGCCCGUGAUCAAGAAGAAGGGCUAGACGCCUUUUAGUCUUAAAAUCCGGAUGCGUCUAGUAGGAUAGCCAGACGUUCUUUGCUGAAGAGUCGGACGCCCUUAGACGGAAAGAGUCGGACAUCUUUAGUUUUGAAGGGCCGGGGCCGGACGCCUUUUGUUCGGACACCCCACAUAGAUUUAUUCUAUGCCUACUAACCUCUUUAAGCUUUAGUAUAAUCACAAGGAAUUUCAAAUAUAUAUGGACUGUAUUGGAUUGUCUUUUAUACAACUCCAAGAUCAAUGAUCAUGCGUGAUCAAUUUCUUUUACAUACUAUAUGCAGCUGCUUUAUGUUUCAGUCCAUGAAUCAGCUUAGGAACGAAGCUGUUCUUUCAUCUUAUCCAGUGAUCUAUAUGCUGCUUACUACAUCAUUUGUAUCUAAUUUCUUUCUUAUGACCAGACUAUUGUCAAUUUCGAAAAUAUGUAGCAGCAUCCACCAUAUAGGAGUUUAUCUCCUUAUAAUAUGUUCCUUUGAUCUCUGUGUGUACCUUGUGUAACAAGCUAUAAUCUAAUGCUGUUAAGUAGGAAGACAUGAACACUCUUAGACCUCGUGAUCAUGUGCCUUCUCUCACGGUUUCUUUAUCUCACAAGAUCCAUCUAUUUCACUGGUUUAUCAGAUGGCGUUUCUGUAUAUGUAUAUGGCCAAUACGCCCAUCUCUCUUUUAGAUACUUUGAACCUCCACGUUUUAUCUUUUCUAAUCUCUAUGAUCUUUUAUGAUUGUAUGAGUACUCUUUCGUGGGUUCAUGAUCCUCGUUCAUCUCUUUAUGUUCAAGUGCUAUAACUUUAUGUAUCUUUAUACAAAUGUGUGUGUGUGUCGACACUUUCAUGUGGUUCCAUUAUGUUCCAGACAUGAUCUAUAGAUUUGAGAUCUUAUUAUCCAGGACCUUUAUUACCUAGUAGCUUGGCGUCCCAAGACUACAUGGUUUGGUACCUUAGAUGUGUAGCUGCGCAGCCUUUUCUCAAUGUCUGGUAUGGUUUCUCUUAUAAUCUCGGAUCUGUAUUCUAUGCACCAUUCUUUUCUAUCCGAGAUUCCUUUAUCUUAUGGAACACUUGGUCUAUCUUGUAUAGACUCUAUAGCAACUUGAUUAUGUCUCUUCUAGGACAUUCAUUUGGUGCUAAGCUGGUUAGUCAUUUCUCGGGUCAGUGUCUGGCAUUUCGAUUAGCUUCUCAAUUAGCUAGCUUUAUAUAAUCUUUCUUUGGACGUCUUAAAUUAUAAUCUCUAGUCCGAGGAUCUUUGCCAAGACAAUGAUGGUUAAAACCAUUCGUACUUUUAACAUUCUUUAUCCAGCUUAUAAUCUUUCUCCUUUAAUAUUCGGAUUCAUUUGUUUCAUGCAAUCCGUACCUGGCCACUAUUUGAUCACCCAUGUUUUGGCUCUCGGUCCUUUUUAUUUCGUGGAGAAGAUCUUAUUCUUAUAUAUUCCCAAUCCUCUUCUGAGGUUCCAUCUUAGACGGCACAUGUAUGUAUGUGGUGGUUUAUUCAAAAUCUCUUAAGAUGGUGUAUGUCUGGUUUUAUGACCCGUAUUCAAUCUGAGAUGGGAAUAUCUAUGCUCACUUAUAUGGCCUGAUGCAUAUUAUCAUUCUAUACAUGUAAAACAUAAUGUCUCCAAGCUUAUAGACUUUAGAAUCUUAGUCUUAUAGAUAAUGGCUUAUAUGGCCGAACCUUUAUAGGUAAUGGCCUCUCUGGCCGGUUAUGGCCCUUGCGGCCGACCUGUUCAUAACAUGGUCUCUUUGGCCGAGUAAUGGCCUUAUGGUUUGGCCGUUUUAAAUCAUGGCCUCUACGGCCGAGGAAUGGCCUUUUAUGGCCGAGCCAUUUAUAACAUGGUCUUUAGACCAUAGUGAUACACGAACUUGUAGUAUUGAUCAUGGGUUUAUCCUCUCUCCCCCUCAUGACCAUACUAUAAGGUCGUGGUGCUUGGGACAAUUAAGCCUAAUGAGUUUCCCUUUGUGUACAUGUUUCACAACGUGAGAUCUUUUACGGGAUAACUCUGUGCCUUUUCAAUCUUUGCAUCAAGUUUAGACUUUAGGAUGGCUAAUCCUAUCAUGCCAUAUAGUGUAAAAUUUCGUGGUGUUAUCUCAAUAUGGUUACCACAUCUCUUGCCUCUUUAUCAUACUGAUCUGUAGCAUAGUUUUGAUCAGUAGAGAUCAUAGGUAUAGUCUCGACCACUUUCUUUCAAGGUCUUAGGCGUUUUUCUUCUUAAAAUCUAAAGGAACUUGUUUCCUUCCUUACCCAUUGUUUCUACUUGGAAACCAUACAUUAUAACUUCAAUGGUUCACAUGUUCUUUUGGGUGUAUAUAAUGCCUUUUAAGGCAAUGCCUUAGCCAUAGUUUCUUUACUAUGCUUACUAUACCCAUUCAUGAUUUCUUACUUGGUUUUAUGCCCUUUAGGCAACUCUUAAUAAAACAUUCAUAUGUUCAAGUAAGAUCAGGCAAGAUAAUGAAUUCAAAACCAAUUCCAUUGUAUAUAUAAAAUCGUGAACCAUCAAGUAGGUUAAAAGCAAAUCACAAGGACUUUAAAAUAAAAUGUCGAGAUCCCUCUUAGUUAAAUAGAUAAGCCGGCCUGUCCAUCUAUUGCAUUGGACAUGGCUGCCUUGGAUUCAUCUUGAUCCAUUUCCUCAGGAUAUUUCAUCUCACUGCUUUUCGUUAGUACCUUGUCCUUCUCAAUCACCGUUAGGCAAGAGAUCAGGUCAUUGUAAGUGGUAGAAACUCUUUAUAUGUAGAUAUUUUUUGACAACAAAUCUUCUGGAUGGAAUGUUGAGUAUGUCUUAAAUAGACAAUCAUUAUCUGUUACCUCUUCUCCACAUAAUCUCAGUUGGUACACGACCCUGGACAAGGCAAAGUGAAACUCGGCCACUGUCUCAAAGUCUUGGAAUCUGAGACUCAUCCAUUCAUGUUUGACCUUUGGUAAUAAUACCAUAGUGUAUCUGGACUUUAAUUCUGUCCAAAAGUCACGAGGAUUCUCAAUAUGUAGAUACUGAUUUCUCAGUUCCUCAGUGAGAUGAUGACGCAUUAUUGUAAUGGCUCUAUGCUUUUCACUUUCAAUUUCAUCAUUUUCUUCAAUGAUACAUUUCCUGAGUCCUCUAGACUUCAUGAUAAUUGAAGUGUUCAUUUCCCAUUCUUGAUCAUUAUCUCCAGAGAGAUUUAGAAUGGCAUAAUCCAUGGGUUCAAAUCUCGGCAUCUGAAAUCAUCAAUCAGUUCAUGAUUUAGAAUUCUUGCAACCAGUUUAAAUAAUCAGUGCACAUGAUUUCAUAAGUCUCUCUAUAAUACUUGGACCACACGGUCAUGUAUUGUGAUGCUUAGGCCUCACGGCCAUCUUGGUGUGAUACAUCAAUCUUAAAGAUUGGUUCAUGAUGCAAUCUGGUUUAUAUAACCAUCCAGAUACUAGGCCACACGGUCACUUUGAUAUGCACUAAGCCACACGGCUUUUAAUCAAUCAAGGGCACAAGGCCGCAAGUAUGAACAAUGUAUUAGGCCACACAGCCAUAUACGAAACGAGAUCUAGAUGCAUUCAAUCUUAUUUCUUAGUUGCAUAUCUAUUAAGUUUUAGAAUUAAAUAAUCUAACAACCUAACUCUCAUUCAAUAUGUAAAUUCUUUAAAUCAAUCUUUCAAGCUUUAAGUAAUGAGAGAUUUAAGGUUUCAAGGCCUUUAGGAAUAUCAAUCAAGAUUAAGGGUUUCAAGGCCAUUAGGAAUUUUAAAAUUCGAGAUUAGGAUUUUAGUUCAAAAAAGAUUCAGAUUCAAGUUUUAAAACAAUCCUAACCAUAGCUCUAGGCGAUCAAUCAAACACUCAAGUUUCAAAUCAAAAUUAAAACCGAUUUUCCAAAAUUAGGGUUUUAGGGGAUUUCGAAAACUUUGAUCUUUGAUCAAGGGGAUUUGAUUUGAGAUUCAAAAACCUUUAAGGUUCUGAUUUUAAUUGAUCAAUGGAUCAAUCUCGUUUUUAGGUUUUAGAUCGAACUUAUAGAGCUUCGAUUUACUCAUAGGGGAUUGAUCUAUUUAACCUAUGACUUUUAGUUUUAGAGAUUAUCUUUUAAGGUUUCAAUCUUUACAAAAUAAUCAGGUUCGAUUUUUGUUUUCAGAUUUCGAAAAAACUUUUAUUUUGUAGCGUUGAACCGGACCACCAAAGUCAGAUGAACCUCUAGUUGCACACGGACGUGAGCUGGCUCCUUAUGGGGUCGCAAGCUGGUUGAUUGGGAACUCAAGCUGGCUGUGAUGCGAACUGGAAACUGAGGUUGUCUAGGAUCAGGAACACCUUAGAGCUGGAGCUGAUCGGAUGCUGACGAGCUGGAACGCAACUAAGAACAAUUUAGGGUUCUUCGGGAUUAGGGUUCCAAAAGACCAAGACGGCGCCGCGUAUUGUUUCUGCGAGUGAGGGUGCGUCUAAGAUCGGAUCGACAAACGGUUUGCGCUGGUGGAUUGGCCUCGUCAAGAGCUUCAAUUUGAUAUGUGGCUCGUCGUCUGGUUCCUCAGGGUUUGAGAGAUAGAUCGAUUUUAAGUUGCGCCUGGUUUAGGGUUUAUUUGUGACGGAUUUUAGGUUAGAUUUUGUCUCAAGGUUUUGGAGUCUAUCGUGCUGAUAACGUGUUGUAAAUUAGAGAGUUUAGAGACUGAAUAUUUCUGUGUUCUUAUUAAUGAUUAAGGGGGUUCCUUUAUAUAAGUAUUACAAGAUAAAGAUAAAUGGAAAGUAUCCAAAACCUAAACACACUAGGAUUAGGAAAACUACUAAUACAUAAUAAUGGAAAGAUUACAUCUACUAGGAAAAUGAAAGGGUUUCUUUUUCUCCAAACUUUGUGGCCGCCAUUCUCUCUCUCUCCUGAAGUCGGCUUUCUCUCCCCUCUCUCUAGGGCUUCGGCCAUCUCUCCAUCUUCUAGGUAUUGGGCCGAUCUCAGUUCGGGUCUGGUUAAUGGCAAUCCACUCCAUGAUUUAUAACAAUAUAUAUAAUAUUGAUAAAAACACCAAUAUUCUGCGGAACUUCUUUUUGGGAGUGUGUAUUCCUUUUUCUGAAAUUUAUACUUUUGAAAUUAUUUAUAUAAUUUUUAGCUUCUUGAAGUAUGUAGUCCAGAUUUGAUUUGAUCCCGUAUCGUUGUUUGACUUUCAUUAUUUUACUCAGGUCUUUUGAUUCACACAAAUGAAGGAGACUAAAUUUAAAUACACCUAAUCUAUUAAAAUAUAGUCCUAUUUGAAAUUACCUUGGCAUGUUUUAAGUUUGGGACUAUUGAACAAAAUGCAACAUGUAUUAUAUAUAUUUAUUUGAUGACCGAUAUAUUUACAUUAAACAAACUUUAAUCAUUGGAUUAAUAUUAAAAUCUAUCCAACAUCUAGGUCAUAUCUAGCGUCGUCAUCUUCUCCUCUUCCUAUGUUCCACCAUCAUUACCUCCGACCACUAUACACAGAUACAUUCGCAUGAAACUAAGAACAAAGUGAAUUAGGAUUGAUUCGAUCAUGAGUUUUUGCUUCUUUCAAUCAUUUAGAGGAAGGAAUCUUCAGAUAUCAGGUCCUGUUGAUCCAUACAAAAGGCCAUAUAAGUGUAUUAGAUUUGUUCCAUUCGAUUUCAUGUUCUACCUUUCAAUCCUCAAAUUUCUUUCUAGAGUUUCACUGAGUAGGCUGAAUCAUGAACAACAAAAAAAUCUCUGCAAUUUUUUUCUGGGUAUACAAAACUUUUAAAUAUGGUACACAUAUCUCUACAAAGUUGUUGUCUUCAAAAACAAAAAGAAAACUCACAAUUGAGGCCAUUGCUCAAUCAUUGCUAAAGGAUCAAGACUUACCUAGAAAAAUAAGAAAUAACAAUCGGGUUCUUAGAAAACUAUAUGCAUUUUGAUGGCAAGAAACAAAGAUGAGAGCUCAGGUUAGUAUCUGUGAUUUCUACCCUUGAUUGUUGAUCAUCCCAUGAACUCUUUCAUGAAUUUUCUCUUGAAUCAAAGUAUCAGCUGCUAUGUUUUGUUUAAUGCAGAGCUCAGGUCAGUCACUAUCUGAGUGGAGCGGAGACAAAAGUGAAUUCUCGAAUCAAGUCCAAAAGGUAUUUAGAAGAUGUGAAAGCUCCUAAGCAAGCUUUCCCUUCACACGUUUCUGUCAUGGUUUUAGAGGUGCUGAUCAGGCAUUCAAAAGAUCAAGGUCAUUUGCCUGUUAAAUCUACUCAGUUCAGACUUGAUCUUCUCAAGAAUGUUGAGAGCAAUGCUGAGGUGACUUUGGAGCUUUGACUCCAUUACUAUGUGUUUUAUUGAUUUGGCGCAUAUGGCCAGUUGCUAAUUGCCAUUUGUGAUUUUCAGGUCAAAGUUUUGGAUGUUGAUGCCCUUUCCAUAUCACACACCCAAGUGAACUAAACAGCGAAACAGAGGUGGAGGACCUAUCGUGUCCUGUAAGAAUCCAUAGUAUGUUCUUUAUGAUGCUACUCUUUUUUCAACUUUUGUUUCAGUCACAAUGUGCUGACUCUCUCUUUUUUUUUGCUGCUUACAUAUCAAACACAUGCCACAUUGAGUUGAUUUUGUCAAAGAAGGAAGAGCCUGUGAAGAAAUAGGUAUGUUAUCCACUUCAAUGGGUGUAUGUAAUCCUGAUUUUCACCAUCUUCUUUGAUCUUUUUCUUCUCACCUUUUUAUAUAUACUCUGCAGCGAAGCCAAAGAAAGGAGCUUCUUCUUGAGCUUUCGUGAUCGUUUGUGUUACAACGUUUGAUACACUUUGUUUACCUUUUUUUCACUUUGUUUACUUCUCUUUCAUUUAGACAAGUAACCGUGAUUGUAAAGAUAUAAUGAUGAUUGGUUUCUGGAUUACUCAAGCUUUAAACUCUUUACGCUUUUGAGGUAGAUUAACAUAUACAAAACUUUGAAAUAAGGGCAUCUGAGUUGUAAUUUCGCCUAAAUUUGAUUAAUGUUUACUAAGUUUUUUGUUAAACAAAAUAAAAUAAAUAGUUAGUUCAUAUUGCUUAUUGAUUUGUCUCUAUCUUCAGAAACUAUACACUUUAAGUAAUAUGAUAUUUCGACUUAUUUAUUAGAACCAAUAUAAUAUAAAGGGUAAACUUAGGGUUGGACAAGAUACCAAACCAAAGAACCGACUUAAAAUCGAUUCAAAAAUCAAAGUUUUGAAUCUGAUUGGACACAUGCAUAAAUACUCGAACAUAUCAUAAAUUGUUAUAUCCAAAGAACCAAUACCAAUUUUGACCUGAACCAAAACCGAAUAAGUAUUCAAAAAAAUACAAAACAUUAAAAUAACUAAAAUGAUUAGUUAUAAUCAUAUUACUAGGUGAUCAUCGGCGCCCUGCGCGGAGUGAAUGGGCUGAAAAAUAUUUUAACUUUUAAUCUAUAAGCAUUAGAAUGUAAAAUUCAAAGGCACAAAUAUUACAUAUUAUAUAAUGAACGAUUGAACGAAAUUGUGUAUAUCUAUAAAACGUAAAAUAGGCAAAAUAAAUUGCUUUCAUAAUUAAAAUUAUAAAUAUAAGAUAAAAGGAAACAUAGAUAAUAGAAUAAUAAAAUAUGAAAGGAACAAAUUAUAAAUAAACAAAUAAAUAAAAAACUAAAAACUAAAAAAUCACGAAUGUUGUGAAAAGUGUCUUCAGAACCUUUUCGUUUGUAAUCCUAUUAAGAUCAAUAAGAAAAGAUAUUAGCUUACGAAACUAAACACUUUUAUUUAAACAAAAGCAUUAAACGAACUGUAUUACUUCAUUCUUAAAGCAUCGAUUUCUGAAACAUCAUUGGGCUCAAACACAAUUUUGAAAAAGUUGGUAAAAGUUAAUGUUUUCCUUUCCGCAAGGAAAGAAUCGAAUAGAUUUACCAAAUCUUUCUUCACACCUACAUGAAUUUUAUCUCCCUGUACAAAACAAAAUAAUAUCAUAUAAGUUUUUAUUCUUCAAGACACGGUUAGUUGCUUUGAGUUCCCAAACGUAAACAACUUAAAAAGAGAAGACUUACGCUUGAAUCAAUGAGAACCAUUUCAAUGGUUAGGCCACCAGCACAGGAAUAUAGCUUCCACAAUCGGAUGAUAUUCACCCUAACUCUCUACAUUGUCUAAAAUGGUUCAAAUCUGCAACUGAGUUGAACCCCACCAUAAGUGUUUUGCUUGAGAAAUGAAAUUUGUAAUGAAGUUUUGGAAAUAAGACUGUGAUGAGUAAAUGAUAGCAAUGCAGCCUAUUUAUAUACAAGCUGAGAAGAGAUUAGAUUUUAAAAGAUGAAAUCAUAUAUGAUUCAUAAUAAGAAAUAUUGACGAAUUAAUUAACCAAAACUUGUGCUCCAAAAUUAAUGCCUAAAUUUCCUUAACACAAUAUAUACCACUUUGAUCAACUUUGAUCACGCAAUUAGCCGUAAAUAAAAAGUUUUUUUCCCUGAAACCUACCUUAGCUAUAGCGCAUGGUCACACCAAUUCAGCAAUAGAAAGAAAAAAAAUAGUUAAUGUAUCUGUCAAAUUUGAAUCAUCCAAAUCUCAUUUAAAACGUCAUAUACUUAAUUGCAUCAAGUUAUCAAUGACUUUCUAUAUGCUGCAAAGAAAAAAAAUUAUAAUCUCAUCAAAUCUUUUCAAAUUUUAUUUAUUUAAAUGUUGCAAAGAAUACUGAUAUCAAUGUUUCAAAGAAAACCGGUAUCAAUUAAUGUAUUGUCAAAUUUGAAUUGUCCAAAACUCAUUUAAAACGAAUACAUUUAAUUGCAUAAAAUAUUAACAUAUUUUAUUUGUUUAAGAUUUUAUUUAUUUAUAUAUGUCGCAAAGAAAACCAACGUAAGACCAUAAAAUUAUUUAUAUUUUAGAGUAUAAUCUCAUCAAAUAUUUAUCUUUUUAUUUAUUUAAAAUUUAUUUAAUUAUAUGUCGCAUAGAAAAACAACGUAGGACCAUAAAAUUAUUUGUAUUUGUAUAUUUUAUUGAAACACUUUUGUAUUUGUAUAUUAUUUGUAUUUUUUUUGAACAACUACAUUUAAUAUUUUAUUUAUUUAUAUAUGUCGCAAAGAAAACCAACAUAGGACCAUUAAAUUAUUUGUAUUUUAGGGUAUAAUAUCAUCAAAUAUUUACUCUUUUUAUAUAUUUAUUCAUAUGUCACAAAAAAAAAUUAUUUGUAUUUUGUAUAUUAUUUGUAUAUAUUUGUAUAUAUAGGACAGCGGAGUCGACACUAUCAUGAGCUUCAUGCUGCCAUCAUAGCUGAACCAGUCUCUGAUGCUCAGUAUGGACGAGAUGUGGUCUUAUGGAAAGCUGGAGAUGAUGAUUAUCAUGAGAACUUCUCUUCCAAGAAGAUGUGGGACCAAAUUCGAGUGAAAAAGGGGCCAGUGGGAUGGAGUAAGGUUGUUUGGUUCACGCAAGGGGUGCCCCGGUACUCGUUCAUUACUUGGCUUGCUGUAAAGAAUAGGUUAUCCACUGGUGAUAGGAUGCGGUCUUGGGGGAUGAUACAGGGUUGUACGUUGUGUGGCGAGGUUGAUGAGACAAGGGACCAUUUGUUCUUUGCAUGCCCAUACUCUUAUACGGUUUGGCAUGGACUGGCAAAUCGCAUCAUGGGUUCUCAUACUGAUCCGGACUGGCAGCUCACACUAGACCACAUGGAGGGGCUCCGAGAUGGGUCAAUGGAUACUAUUCUUAUCAAAAUGUUGUUUCAAACAACUCUUUAUCAUAUCUAGAGGGAACGGAAUGCGCGGAGGCACCACACUAGUUGGAUGACAGCAGAAGCUAUGGGCAAGACAGUAGACAAAGCGAUAAGGAAUCGCAUUUCAUCGCUUAAGUACAAAGCAGGGCAUAAGCUUGAGGGGCUUAUGCGACGGUGGUUCACUCACACUAUGUAGUCAUGCAGCUCUUCUAUCUUUUUUACCUUAUUUUAGUUUAUACUUAGUCCAACAUAGUUUAGCAAAGUAGUUACUAAAACUCUUAUUCUUUGUAAAUGUCAGUUCCCAUAAAGGAUGAAUAAAUUUGAAAUUUCAUCAUAAAAAAAAAACUAUAUGUUCUGACUUAUAACCCGACCAUAUGUUCUGACUUAAACAUAAAAUUAUUUGUAUAACCUUUUUUUAUGAAGACAGUAGGACCAUAAACAUUUUAGUUUUUUGUGUAGACAAUAAUACCAUAUAAAAAUAAAAACGUUGACUAAUAUAUGAACAUUCCGCGUGGCUUAAGUUUAAUAUACGAACAGAAACAUGAUGCAACAAAGGUUGGUUUAUAACAAUGACAAAUAAUGUAAUAAUUCUAGUAAGAUGAGGGUAUUUAAUUAAAAGAUGUGAGGAGAGCUAUUAUGAUGACACGUAGGAAAUGACAUACUCGUUAAUAACACAUGAAUAUAAGGUUACUUUCUAGAAAUGCUCAUAUUUUAAUAAAAAAGAGAUUAUUAGUACCUAAAAUGAAAAUAAUAAAUCAUCAGGGACAUGAGACCGACACGUGGCAACACGUAACUAGUCUGGAUCACUUCUGUGGAGCCUAGAUACCCCUGUAUAAUUCAAAAAAAGAAAAUAGUAAAUCAUCUAUUCUAUUAAAAUAAAGUCCUAAAAUAUAUCUACCGUUUUCAAAUAGUUUUUAAUUGUCAGACCCAUUACUAGAGAGUUACAUGUGACAUUAGUUAUACACUGAUUAAUAAAUUAACCGAUGUCAUAUUUAAAUCGUACCACCACAUCGGGUAAUUUAAGCAAACCAUUAUUUUUACUAUCGAUUUCAUUAACAAUAAACCGGUUAUCUAUUAUUAUAAACGUGGAGUGGGGGGGAGGAAGGAGUUUAGUGAUUUUAAAAAUGAACAGAUUUUUAGAAGUUAAGUAAAGUUAACAAAUAUUUUCUAAAUUUCUAUCAAAUAUUUUGUAUUGAUUUCUAUAGAUUUUAUUGAUUAUUAUGGACAGAUUCAGUAGGAAAUGGAAGAAUCAAAUUCUAGUAUGGACCAAAAGGGUUCAAAAUAAUCUAAUAUGAACCUCUUCUUUUUAUUUUACAUUUUGCAUUUAAAUUUAAUUCAAAAACUAGAGGAAAUAACCAAAAAACCUACUGAUUUAAACAUAUUUACAGAUCCAUGUCAUUCUUAUCUUACCCAGACCCAAACCCAGAUUUUAACCCUAAUUUUUUUUUCUCUUGUCUUCUUCGUCAUUGACACUUCUUCAAUUUUAAAGCAAAAUCAAAAAUUUCUUCAAUCACUUAUCGAUUUUUUUUUUGUUAUCCCAAAUCGAUCAACCCAUAAUCUUCUUUAAUCAAUUAUGUCAUAUUCGAAACCAGAUUUGAUCAUAUACAUACGAGAUUCAUAAAAAAUAAGAACGCAGAGUAUUACUAGUACAACUAGUACAACAACAAUUUGUGCAACUAGUACAACUAGAAAAGGUAUAACUUGUACAACUAAAUUAAAUAUAACUAAUAUAACUGGUACAACUAGGACUCGAAUUACUAGUACUUUACAACUAAUAUGGUGAUAUUUAAUUUUUGUUUUCAGCGUAUAAAUAAUAUAGAAAAAGAUGAUGUUGAACCAAUAAUAGAUAUUACUCUAAUAUUUCCUGCUUGCAUCUGUCAAAAUACAUAUAUAACUAGAACAACUAAAAAUGUAUAAUUACUACAACUUUACAAUUAAUAUGAUUAUAUUUGAUUUUUGUUUUCAGCGUAUGAAUGAUGUUAUAGAAAUGAAUGAUGUAUAACCAAUGAAAAUGUUGGUGUAAUCUUCAUGUAUGUGUCAAAUAUGUUAAUAGUUUGUUUAUAUAAUAUUUGUUUUGAUAAUGAUUUGUUUUACCUUUUGUACUAGUUGUACCAGUUAUACUAUAUACGGGAAAAAAAUCAUCUUCAUGUUUUUUCUCCCAAAGGCGAAGAAGACAACUGCUGAGCCAGAAAAAAAAUUGUAGUUUAAAAUCUGGAAGAGUAUACUCCAAAAGAUAAUGCAUAUGCCAUCACGAGUUUGAAAAGAAUGCAUAAGCAUUAAUGUUUGAUAUUUGGACUACAACAAUAAUAGUUUAACUAGUACUGUUACUAGUUUAAUUGUUACAGCACUUGAUUUGCGUUUUUCUAGUGCUGUUUGUUAGGUUUCUCGCCCCAAAGGUCAUUUUCUUGAUAUGGACAUGAAAGUAAUAUAAGAAGUAGAGAAAUUGUGAUCAUAUAUAUAUAAUUUCCAUCAUAAGUAUAUAUUUGCAUAAACAAGAAGGACUGUGCUGUUAAGAAGAGAGAUACACAACAUCAUUAAGAUAACAAUACAUAAAAUAAUUUUAGAAAUAUAAAUAUAAUAACAUUUUACCAUUUUUUGAAAUAUUUUUUUAAUUUAAUUUUAAAAUUUCUAUAAUUAAAAAGUUAAACCAGUAGUACCAGUAUUACAUGUCUAGUAUAUGAUUAUAUUUUUAGUUAUAUGAGUUGUACUAGUAGUAAACGUUUAAUAUAUAAUGAAAAGUUAUUAAAUAAUAACUAGUAAAUAAUAUUAAGUCAAAUAUAUUGCAAGAAAUAUUAAUGCAAAUAAUACAUAAAAUUAUUUUUACUUUUAAAAAAGAUAUCAAAUAUAUUCAUAGCAUAAUUUUAAUCUAUAAUUACAUAUUUAAAUGGGAUGAUAUAUUUAAGUUACAACAUAAUGCAUAUUUAAAAUAAUACUAAAUUAAAUAACAAGUAGUUGUACAAGUUUUCUAGUUGUACCGACUGUACAUAGUUGUACUAGUUUUUGAGUUGUACCAGUUUGUGCAUAGUUGUACUUUGGCAGUGAAAUCAUAAAAUAUUAGUUGUACCACAUAAUAAAUACAUUUACCUCAGUUGUACCACUUAUUUAUGUUUACAUGUCUUUGCCCGGUUAUAAUGAAAUCAUCAAUUUUGUAAAACUACAUUUCAUGUAUGUUUUCCAAAAAUUAUGUGGACAAACACGUUAACAAACAUUAAAAGUAUAAGGUAGAUCAUGUAAACUUAUGGAAUUGUGUAAUAAUUUUUAUAUUUUUUUCUAAAACUUCAAAUUAAAUUAAGAGAAAUUUUAUGAGUACAUACCAACUGAGAUAUAUGAUUGUUUUUCUCAUAUGAAAUACCAAAUUAGUUUUGUUAAUUUCUGAAACGUCGAAGUUGUACUAGUUGUACCAGUAAUACUCGUAUAAUAUAUAUAUAAGUUAUAUAUAUAUAUAUAUUGUUUAUAUGUCUAGUCAUAAGGGUUGUACCAAUAUUUUCACAUCAUAGCUUUGUAAAAUAUGUUCGAUGUUUGAUUAUCAUAAAAAUAUGGCUAAUAUAGUUAAUAACCUUAAAAGUAUAAAGUAUAUAAUAUAAAAUUAAGUGUGUAAUGCAAUAAUUUAACAAAAAAAAUGAAAAAUCUUAAAUUAAAUAGAUGACAUUUUUGUCAUCAUAUACCAAUUAGAAUAUUUAUUUGUUUAUUUCAUGUGUAAAUUAUAACAUUUUUAUACCAAUUAUAUAAUUUUUUAAAAUAUUUAGUUGUACGAGUUAUACUAGUUUUACCAAUUCGAAUGAGAGAAUGAGAUAAGAAAGAUUGUGUGGAUGUAAAUGGCCGAGAUUAAAAAAAGAAAAAGAGAGAGAAUGAGACAUAUGUGAAAUUAUAUGGCCAAGAUUAAAACAUAGAUGUGAUGAUCCAAUGGCUCAUAUCAAUUUUUCAUUAAUGGCAAAAUCGUCAUUUCCCUAUAAUUGGUCCAUGUAGAUUUUUUUUUGGAUGUUGUAGAUUUUUUUUUGACCAUUUGGUCUAUAAGAGAUUUUUGUCCGAAAUGGAAAGUCAACAAUGAUGGUGAGGCAUCCUUUUUGGUUUUAGCCUUCUUUGGUUUUAGACUUGUUCAUCUUGCGAGAAGCCAUUCUCUCUUCAUGGUGACGACGACACUUUUCUUCAAAUUUUGGAGAACUGCAAUAAUACCAUUAAAACCACAAAAUUAACAACAAGACUAAUCCGUUAACAAGAAUAAAAAAAAACAAUAAAAUGUUUGACGUACAAGCGCCUGACUUUGCCACCACCAGUUCGAAGAUUCCAUCUGUACAGUCUCUGAGGGCCGGCAGUAUAGCCAGCACGACAGAUUUCACAGCCUUUAAAGUUAAAGUGGGCAUAGUAUUCGUCUCUAAGUCUAGCCAUUGUAACCAGAAGCUUAUGACCUCCCAAGUCGCUUCCAUUGAGAGAUAACGCCGCCUCAAUGCCAACACGUUUUUUCAGAUUAAUAAAAGCAUAUCCUCUGGAAACACCGGUUUCACACUCGAUGUGAACAAAAACCCUCGCCAACUCUCCACAUGAACUGAAAUGUUUAGCCAGUGCGCUCCUGAUCUCAUCCCUAGAACCGCUAUUAUCAAAACCCGUGACGAAUAAGGUACGCUCAUUGUUUCCCUUUGCAUCUUUAGUGUCGAAACAGCACUCUUUCUUCUUCUCUGUGGUUUCUUCCUCCUGUAGGACAAACCAAGGAUUUCCUAUUAUUUCCAACU
rnacentral:lncRNA from 1 species